rnacentral:ncRNA from 16 species
UGCGAUCAAAUCCGGGAUGGUGUCCGGCCCCAAAGGGUCGGCUGAAAAGGGAACACGGUGCGGGCGAGGCCCAACUCCGUGACUGCCCCCGCAACUGUAAGCGGCGAGCGCCACCGAAAACGCCACUGACCUGCAAAGGUUGGGAAGGUCCGGUGAAGCCACGACCCGCGAGUCAGGAGACCUGCCAUCUCGGAUGCGCCGCCG